UCUCUGGAGUGCUGCGGUUCAGAAGAACACCUGAAAAUGGAAAGAAUGUGCAUUAUAACUAUGGUCUUUUGAGACAAAUUCAGUGAUUUUUAAGACUUUUUGGAUUCUCUGAAGAUUUCAUUAGACCUGACUGUCCUCUUUCACUCAUCACUGUGGUUGAAGACCAGUUCCUUUGUAAUUGAAUCUGUGGGAGAAGCUGAAGGAGGCAUAAGGAGAGUACCAUGCCUAUCCAGCACAAGUACACGAGGAGAAAAGCCUGGAGAAGAAAGGAUUUAUCAUCUUUGUA